CAGUCGCCGCGGUAAUACGUAGGGUGCAAGCGUUAAUCGGAAUUACUGGGCGUAAAGCGUGCGCAGGCGGUUAUAUAAGACAGAUGUGAAAUCCCCGGGCUCAACCUGGGAACUGCAUUUGUGACUGUAUAGCUAGAGUACGGCAGAGGGGGAUGGAAUUCCGCGUGUAGCAGUGAAAUGCGUAGAUAUGCGGAGGAACUCCGAUGGCGAAGGCAAUCCCCUGGGCCUGUACUGACGCUCAUGCACGAAAGCGUGGGGAGCAAACAGGAUUAGAUACCCGGGUAGUCCCUGUCUCUUAUAC
rnacentral:rRNA from 1 species